CUAGGAUUGGAGCAUCCAGAACAGAGUCUCUUCAGCCUGGGAAGAGCGGGGACUUGAGCUUGGAGGGAGCUGGAGUGGCCGCUUGCUGAGUCUUUCUCCCUGGAGCCUGUGGGCAGCCGGUUACGCUUGCGCUGGGGCGACCCUGACUUAGGACCUCCUGCCGUUUCUCUGGGUGACUGCUCUGUAGUCGUGAGUCGUCUCUUUAAUGCCGAGCGUCAGUACCUGCACAUCCCUGAAUGGAGCAGCUGCCCAGAAUCUGUCUUGUCAUCGAUAGAUGGACAGUUGCCGAGUGUCCCAUGUGCCGACCAAGGAGUUUUUGUCCCUAUCACCCUGUCCCCCGUGGUUUUAUUCAGACGUUAGUUAUGAAUCCGUGUUUAGGAUGAGAAAACGUAAACAGUGAGGAGGGUAAGUGAGAAGCUACCAAGAGUCUGGAUGGUGAUGGCGGGGGACCGCUGGCGGAGGAGUCGGGGGCGUCCCGCUGGACUGGGGCACAGCUCUGCAGCAGCAGCCGGUGCGGUUUUGCCUUGUAAGUGACACCGUUGCCUGCAGGCAUCUCUGACAGCUGCUCCUGCUCCAGAUUCCAGAAAUUUCUGUGGAACAUUUCGUGAACCAUCCUCCUGGUUUCUUCCCUUCCCCUCACUGAAUAAAAUCCGUAAUAGCA
rnacentral:sRNA from 1 species